CGCUGGAGGAAAAUGAGCCCCCGCUCGGCCCCCUCUCAUGCUUGACAGAGAGAGUGGGGGAGAUCGCUUUGGCCUGAAGGAGAGACCAGAUAGUGAAAUAAUCUUUAAUCUCUGUCCCUUCCAGGCACCGGCAACACCUGUUAUUCUUGAUGGCGUCAGGCAAGAGGGCAGCGCGCAGCCUCGUUUUAAAGCUGAUUGCCUGACUUAUAAAUAUGAAUGUCUGCUCUGCUCGGCCCGCCUCAAAUCCCCGGUGGUCACUCUGUCUGCUCACACGGCAUAUGAUGAAGCAUUCAAACAAGGGGGGACGUAAGUGACAAUGACACUACAAAAGCUCAACGAUGAAGCCAGACAGGAUCUCAUUACGGCACAGGGCUGUUAAUGAUAAACUAUCACAGAGCCAUUAAAGAAAAAGAGACGGCUGGUGGACAGUGACAUUAUGGGAGGAAGAUGCCAUCAGCAUUUAGCAGUUUAAACUUCCCUCAAUUGUCCAUCUGUCAUGUAUCUAUAAAAGACUCUUUCUCUCUCUCACGCACACACACACACACCCAACAAAUUCACUCAUGCUUUGUGAUGGAUUAAUCAAGAUGAAGAGGCACUUGCCCUCUGUGGUUCAUCUGACAGUGCUGUCUGUCACGUCAAAGCAGUUUAUCUUGUCUAAAAACAAUCACAAUGUGAAAAAUUAGGAAAUCUGCAGUUCAAUUUUAUUAGAUAGUACAUUAAACAAAUAUAGUAAAAGUGGCUGGGCAGAGAUUUAUGUUAUGUGGGAGGAUCUAAAUUAUUUACUAUGCUGGAGCCUCUGAGGACCACGAGAGAUAAUUUAUCUGAUAAAAUAACAUGCAUAUUCAUAUGCCACAGUGUUUUUGAGGACAUAAGAGAUUAAUUGUGUGUGUAUCAUUAAAAGUUUUCAGUAGGGAUGCACAAAAUAAAAUAUUUUAUUUAAAUGUUAUAUUAUAUUACAAUUUAUAUUUUUAAGCAUUUAUCUUUGUUAACAUUAGUUAGUAAAAAUCGAAUUGUUGUUUGUUCAUGCUAGUUCAUAGUGCAUUAACAAAUGUUAACAAAUACAACUUU